UGAAUAAUACUGUUGGACGACUGGAGAAUGGAUGUACUCCAAUUCCGUAGACUCGACCUUUAUUUAUUUUCACGAGAAAUAAAGAAAAAAAAGAAGCAAAAGGAGUAAGAAAACAAACACGCAACUAUGUGUACUUUUAAAAAUACACUAUGUUCAAUGAUAAAAACCUUAAAGACUAAACCCAUAAAAUUUAAAUUGUGGAUCCAUAUCUCUAUAUAAAUAUUAUUGAAGGUGAGUUGUAGAAGAUAAAAUUCCUCCAUUCUUAUCUACAUGUCUAGAGUUCGAGUUUGAGAAAUAUAAAUCUUUCGAUAGAGAAUGCUUUGUCUCUGAUAAUAAAGCUAUGAAAUGCAGAUGUAGCUGUAUACGGUCAAAACCAAGUUUGCCUUUCGUGUGACUAAUCGAGAUUGGAACAUGAUAGACCGAGGAUCGUCAUGGUGAUAUCGAGCUAUGAUGUGAAGUCGGGCUGCUGAGUUCGAGCCCUAGAAACCGACCAAGGUCGGGAUCAGCCGAGAUCGAUAUCGAGCCCAGAUAGAGGUCGAGCAAAUAGAGACCGAUCGAGACCAAAAUCGGCCGAGACCGAGAACGAGCCCUGAUAGAGGUCGAGCGAAUAGAGGCCGAUCACGGUCGAGAGCGGCCGAGUUUGGGCUCGAGCCAAGGGACAAAAGAGCCGUUAUAGCCACAUUUGGGGAGAGAAUCUCGGCGAAAAUCAAGGAAAGACUAAUUAAUUAUUCUAUCAUGGGAUCCCCACUAUAUAUUUUUAAUUAUAUCCAAAGUAAAAUUUUUCCAUUAUAUUAGAGUGACUGUCAUUUGUAAAAGGGCAUGGAAAGAAACCUUCAUACAUUCUCACAUUGACAGAUUAUUGAGAUUUACAUAACAUAUAGCAAAUAUUGUCCUUUUUGGGCUUUUGAUAUUGAUUCAUCUAGUUCAUUUAUCAAUCAUUCUCUACUUAAUUUGGGUUGGUGUUCAUUCUUUUUCACAGUCAAUAUACGGUAUAUUUCUACUUAUCUUUCUAAUUUGUACCAAUUUACACCACGUAUCCUUAGAACUACGUACAAAUUCAACUCCAUCCGUUUUUCGGGUAAACAGUUUGGCGCCCACCGUGGGGCUAAGAAUAAUAGUGGUUAUUUGGCACUAAUCUCUGCAAAACACACUAUUUUACACUUCUUGGAAGUGUCUUUAAUUUCAGGUUAAAAAUGAUGAACUCUCGAUUAAUAGCCCUACCUAUUAACAACGAAGCUGGCCUUCAAGAUGAGAACAACAAUCUGACGAUCGGGGAUGAAAGGCCACUCGUCGAUCCCGUUGGAACUCGGGUCGCAGAUCCAAUUGACGUUAAUUCACACGCGGCUAUCGAGGCGAACCAACGUUCCGACCCUGAAAAUAACAUUCGUGGUAGAACUCGAUCUGCAGUUCGAAAUACCUAACACGUUAGAGAAGUCGGGAUCAGCCUGCGUAUGAUUUUUGAAAUGUUGCAAGCUCAACAGGUAGCAAUAGCUCAGUUGCAGAGCCAAACUCAGGCACCAAGCAGGGAUGAUCCCGAUCCACCCCAAGAAGUCACCCAUAAAAUAGGGCAAGCUAUAGUAAGAUCAGAUGAACAAGAAUCGGGGACUAAUCCUGAAAUUAUUAGGAUGCUCGAGGAACUGACAAAACAAAUUGAGUUGGGAGAAAAGAGGAUUGAAGCAAACGACAAAAAAGUAAAAACUUACAACUCCAGGGUUGAUCAGAUCCCGGGAGCACCACCGUUAUUAAAGGGCUUGGAUUCCAAAAAAUUCGUACAAAAGCCUUUCCCCCCCAAGCGUGGCUCCCAAACCGAUCCCCAAGAAGUUUCACAGGCCCAAAAUUUCUAAAUAUAAUGGAAUAACCGACCCCAACGAACAUGUCACCUCUUACACAUGUGCCAUUAAAGGGAACGACCUAUAAGAUGAUAUGAUCAAAUUCGUAUUAUUAAAGAAGUUCGGUGAAACUUUAUUAAAGGGUGCAAUGGUAUGGUAUCAUAAUUUACCACCUAACUCUAUCGAUUCUUUUGCUAUGCUUGUAGAUUCUUUCGUAAAAUCACAUGCCGGAGCCACAAAGGUCGGGGCCAGGAAGUCAGAUCUUUUCAAGGUAAGGCAAAAAGAUAACGAGAUGCUAAAAGAGUUCGUAUCUCGUUUACAAAUGGGGCGAAUGGAUCUAUCACCUAUCACAGACGAUUGGGUUGUUCAAGCUUUCACUCAAGGACUGAACGAACGAAGCUCGAUGGCUUCACGACAGUUGAAGUAGAACUUGAUCGAGUACCCGGCUGUUACCUGGGCCAAUGUACACAAUCGAUAUCAAUCAAAUAUUAGAGUUGAAGAUGUCCAGUUAGGUUUUAGGUCCUCUAUUAAAAGGCACAUUAACCGAGAAGCAAGAUCGAACAAAGACCGAUAUCGGCCGUAUAACGGAGAUCGCUAAGGCAGCGAACCUGCACGUAACCCCGUACGAGGCAAAAAUAUAAGAGACCGAGGCCAAGGAACUCGGCUGUUGAUAAAUAAGAAUAGGUUCGACAGGCAUAUCGGACCUAAGGAAGCACCACGGUUAUCGGAAUAUAACUUCAACAUCGAUGCAUCCGCCAUCGUGUCGGCUAUAGGACGCAUCAAAGAUACUAAGUGGCCUCGACCUCUGCAGUUCAAUCCAGCCCAGAGAAAUCCCAAUCAAAUGUAUAAGUAUCAUGGCACCCAUGGUCAUAGAGCUGAAGACUGCAGGCAGUUGAAAGAGGAGGUAGUUCGGUUAUUCAAUAAAGGGCACCUUCGAGAAUCUUUAAGUGAUUGGGCCAAAAACCAUUUCAAAAACAGAGAUUUCAAUAGACAAAACGAACAAGAAGAGCCACAACACAUCAUACAUAUGAUCAUCGGAGGCAUCGAUGUCCCCCAGGGGCCAGUGCUUAAACACAUUAAGAUGUCGAUUCUAAGAGAGAAGCGAUCUCGUACUCAGAAUUACACACCUAAAGGAACCUUGUCCUUUAGUGAUGAGGACGAGGAAGGAAUCAUGCAACCCCAUAAUAAUGCANNNNNNNNNNNNNNNNNNNNNNNNNUGUCAUUCGAUCAAAGGUCGUAGAGCAACUCGGUCUAUAAGACCAGAUCGUGCUUGCUACCCUUGUACUAAACGGAUUCAAUAUAGCAUGUGAAACUACUAAGGGCGAGAUAAUUUUGCUAGUAAAUGUAGCUGGGACCAUUCAAGAAACGAAGUUCCACGUGAUCGAGGGCUAUAUGAGAUAUAACGCCCUAUUCGGGAGGCUAUGGAUCCACAACAUGAGAGCAGUGCCCUCGACCCUUCACCAGGUUCUGAAAUUCCCAGCACCGUAGGGAAUCAAAACGGUCUACGGGGAGCAACCGGCCACAAAAGAAAUGUUUGCUGUCGAUGAAGUGAUUCCAAUAUCAUUAUUAUCAUCGACAAAGGGAUCAGAUUCGAAGGAGAAACGAGACACCAAAUAGCAAUCACAAAUGUCAGCCUCGACCCAACUAGAGAAACAAGAGACUGGCGAAGAUGAUGAUUAUGGGAUCCCUCGAUCCUUCAUGGUCCCCGAUGAUUCCAACACUACCAAAUCAACAGUCGAAGAGCUAGAGCAAAUCAUGCUAAUCGAACAUCUGCCCGAGCGAAAGGUAUACCUGGGCACGGGGUUAGAUCCCAAGCUCAGGAAAAAGCUUAUUCAAUUUCUUAUAGCUAACAUGAAUUGUUUCGCUUGGUCCCAUCUUGACAUGAUAGGGAUGCCACCGGAAAUCACCACUCAUAGACUAAGCUUGGAUCCGAAAUUCCAUCAAGUAAAACAAAAAGAAGGCCCUAGUCCGAGGUCAAACAUGCCUUCAUCAAAGACGAGGUAACCAAACUUCUUAAAAUUGGAUCCAUUCGAGAAGUAAAAUACCCCGAAUGGAUAGCAAACGUGGUAGUAGUCCCUAAGAAGGGGAAAAAAACUUAGAAUGUGUAUAGAUUAUAAAGAUCUGAAUAGAGCAUGUCCUAAGGAUUCUUUUCCUUUGCCUAAUAUCGAUCGUAUGAUCGAUUCCAUGGCCGGCCACGAGACUCUCAGUUUUCUCGACACCUACUCCAGGUACAACCAGAUACAGAUGAACCCGGAGGAUCAGUUAAAGACCUCGUUUAUCACUAAGUACGGUACCUACUGUUAUAAUGUGAUUCCAUUUGGUCUAAAAAAUGUUGGUGCAAUUUAUAAACGCCUAGUAAACCGAAUGUUCGAGACGCAAAUAGGAAAAUCAAUGAAAGUUUAUAUUGAUGACAUGUUAGUUAAGUCCCUGCGACCAGAGGACCAUUUAAAGCAUUUUCAGGAAACUUUCGACAUACUGAGGGAGUACAAUAUGAAAGAUCCAAUGAAUUCCCUAAAAUCGGAUGACACAAGGCGAACUAGAAUAGGCUGAUUGAUCCAGGUAGCGACAGGCUCCAAUCGAAAGGAACCGCGCGUACGCUAGAAAGACGUAUAGGCAAGCCUUUCUUUAUGAUCAUAUGGAUCGCUUUUCGUGACUUUUCUUUCCAUAGGCAUAGAUUGCAGUCUAACCAGCUUUCUAACUUUAGGGGACCGAGAAUCAGUCUUUUGAUCCUCCUCGAGCCUACUCUAGCUCAACCUCAAAAAAUAUGCAUUCGGGGUUGGCUCGGGCAAGUUUCUUGGUUUUAUGGUGUACAAUCGAGGAAUCGAGAUCAACCCCGAUAAAAUCAAAGCUAUCGAGGACAUUACGGUAGUAGAUAAUGUAAAGGACGUACAGAGGCUAAUGGGACGGAUAGCCGCCCUAGGACGAUUCAUUUCGAGGUCCUCAGAUAGGAGCCACCGAUUUUUCUCUCUGCUUAAGAAGAAAAGCAACUUUGCAUGGACUACAGAAUGUCAACAGGCUUUGGAAGAACUAAAUCGGUAUUUAUCGAGCCCGCCGUUGCUUUAUACCCCGAAGGUAGACGAACGACUUUACCUGUACUUAGCCAUCUCGAAGAUAGCAGUGAGUGGAGUUCUGGUUCGAGAAGAACGAGGUACGCAAUUCCCUAUUUAUUAUGUCAGUUGAACUUUAGGUGAGGCCGAAACUAGAUAUCCACACUUAGAAAAAUUAGCGCUUGAUUUAAUAAGUGCCUCUAGGAAACUAAAACCAUAUUUCCAGUGCCAUCCGAUACAUGUUGUAACAACUUAUCCUAUUCGAAAUAGUUUGCACAAACCCGAGCUUUCGGGUCGAUUGGCCAAAUGGGCCAUAGAAAUAGGCGGGUACAAUAUUGAGUAUCGACCCCGAACCGCUAUCAAAUCUCAAGUCUUAGCAGACUUCGUGGUUGAAUUUACGCCGGCCUUCGUACCCGAGACUGAAAAACAACUGCUGAUAAAAUCAUGUACCUCUUCGGGAGUAUGGACCCUCUUUACUGACGGUGCCUCGAAUGCGAAAGGGUUCAGACUGGGCAUCGUACUAAAAUCACCCACAAGUAAUGUAGUUAGACAGUCUAUCAUAACUACAAAAUUGACUAACAAUGAAGCCGAGUAUGAGGCCGUGAUUGUAGGUCUCGAACUAGCUAGAAGCUUAGGAGCCGAGGUCGUAGAGGCUAAGUGUGAUUCCCUCAUCGUGGUAAACCAAGUUAACGUGACUUUUGAAGUCUGAGAAGAUCGAAUGCAGAGGUACUUGGAUAAAUUACAGUUGACUCUACAUCGAUUUAAGGAAUGGACUUUGCAACAUGUACCCCGAGAGCAGAACAACGAGACCGACGCUCUUGCAAACUUAGGUUCAUCGGUCGAAGAUGACGAACUCAACUCGGGGACUAUCGUACAACUCAUAAGAUCGGUGAUCGGAGAAGGUCACGCCGAGAUAAACUCCACAAGUCUAACCUGGGAUUGGAGAAACAAAUAUAUAGAGUACUUCAAGAACGGGAAGCUUCCCUCAGAUCCAAAGGAAUCGAGAGCUCUGCGCAUAAAGGCAGCACGAUUCACCAUGUCCAAAGACGGGACACUAUUUAGAAGGAUGUUCGAUGGACCAUUGGUAAUAUGUUUGGGACCAGGUGAUACCGAUUACAUCCUACGGGAAAUUCACGAGGGCACUUCUGGAAACCAUUCCGGUGCCGAUUCACUGGUCCACAAAGUAAUCAGAGCAGGGUAUUAUUGGAUCAAUUUGGGCAAGGAAGCAAGGGAGUUCAUUCAAAAAUGCGACAAAUGCCAAAGACAUGCGCCCAUGAUUCAUCAACCUGGGGAGAUGUUCCACUCAGUCCUAUCUCCAUGGCCCUUCAUGAAAUGUGGAAUGGAUAUCGUCGCCCCCUCCCAUCAGCCCCAAGUAAGGCUCAGUUUAUUUUGUUUAUGACUGAUUAUUUCUCUAAAUGGGUUGAAGCACAAGCUUUCGAGAAAGUCAGAUAAAAGGAAAUGAUAGACUUCGUUUGGGAUCAUAUCAUAUGUCGAUUCGGGAUGCCAUCCGAGAUUGUAUGUGAUAAUGGAAAACAAUUCAUCGGCAGCAAAGUAACUCAAUUUCUCGAGUAUCACAAAAUCAAAAAGAUCCUAUCAACACCUUAUCAUCCCAUCGAAAUGGGCAAGCCGAAUCGAACAACAAAACCAUCAUCCAAAAUAUUAAGAAGAGAUUAACCGACGCUAAAGGAAAUGGAGAGAAAUACUACUCGAAGUCCUAUGGGCAUACUGCACAACAUCGAAAUCCAGUACCGGAGCCACACCAUUCUUGUUGGUUUAUGGCGUCGAAGCUCUUAUCCUGGUUGAGGUCGGAGAACCUAGCAUCAGGUUUUGAUAUGCGACAAAUGAAUUGAAUAAUGAGACCAUGAAUAUGAGCCUAGAAUUAUUGGACGAAAGACGAGAAGUCGCUCUCGUCCGAUUGGCCACCCAAAAAGAGCGGAUCAAAAGAUACUACAAUCGAAGAACCAAUCUUCGACAUUUUAAAAUCGGAGACUUGGUACUAAGGAAAGUCACCUUUAACCCCCGAAAUCUGAAUGAAGGGAAACUGGGUCCGAACUAGGAUGGACCUUAUCAGGUUCUCGAAAUAGUCAGAAAAGGAUCUUACAAGCUCGGUGUGAUAAACGGCAAACAUCUACCGAGCAAUUGGAACAUAUCUCACCCAAAAUGAUACUACUGCUAAGGUACGACCCUUCCAUGUUCAUUUGUAUUUUGAAAUUAACCCUUGCAGGUGUCCGACUAGAAACAUGGAUGGAUUCUUCAACUCGAAGCCUUUAGGUCUUAAAGCACGCGUUGCACUCUUUUUCCCUUAGACUGGUUUCGUCCCAAAUGGGUUUUUCGGCAAGGUUUUUAAUGAGGCGACUAUUGAUCGUGCUAACUUAGAAUAAUUCAAUAGUAUCUAAGGCCUCUUUACAAUCAACCUCGAAUACUAGGGGGCAUUACCCUCGAAUAUAUCAAGUUCGAUGCAAGGAAAUUACUUCAUGGCAACAGGGUCUCGAUAGGAAAAAUUUGUAAGGGCCAAAUGGUCAAACGAACCAUGUCCGCGUAGUUUGCUCGAGCCCUGGCACAAAAUAUGAACACAUGUAUAAUGACUUAUAAAGAGAAAUUUCUUCUUUACCGAUAUCUCAUAUCUCAGAAAGCUUCUUCUGCUUCAUAUUCUCGACCAUGGACGGAGUUCGAGCAAACACUUACUCGACCAUAAAGUCUAAGGGCUACCUUAGUUCGAGUUCGAGAAAUCACUCUCACUCAACUAAAAAGCCUAAGGUCUACCUUAACUCGAGUUCGAGCAAACACUCACUCGACCAUAAAGCCUAAUUGCCACCUUAGUUUGAGUUCGAGAAAUCACUCUCACUUGACUGAAAGGCCUAAGGGCUACCUUAAUUCGAGUUCGAGCAAACACUCACUCGACCAUAAAUCCUAAGGGCUACCUUAGUUCGAGUUCGAGAAAUCACUCUCACUUAACUGAAAAGCCUAAGGGCUGCUUUAACUCGAGUUCAAGCAAAGACUUACUCGGAUACCUUAGUCCGAGUUCAAGAAAUCACUCUCACUCGACUGAAAGGCCUAAGGGCUACAUUAAUUCGAGUUCGAGCAAACACUCACUCGGUCAUAAAGCCUAAGGGCUACCUUAUUUGGAGUUCGAGAAAUCACUAUCACUCGACUGAAAAGCCUAAGGGCUACCUUAAUUCGAGUUCGAGAAAACACUCACUCGACCAUAAAGCCUAAGGGCUACCUUAGUUCGAGUUGGAGAAAUCACUCUCACCCGACUGAAAAUCCUAAGGGAUACCUUAAUUCGAGUUCGAGCAAAUACUCACUCGACCAUAAAGCCUAAGGGAUACCUUAGUUCGAGUUCGAUAGAUUACUCUCACGCGACUGAAAAGCCUAAGGGCUACCUUAACUCAAGUUCGAGAAAUCAUUCUCACUCGACUGUAAAGCCUAAAGGCUACAUUAAUUCGAGUUCGAGCAAACACUCACUCGACCCAAAAACCUAAGGCCUACCUUAACUCAAGUUCGAGAAAUCACACUCACUCGACCAUAAAGCCUAAAGGCUAUUUUUUACUUCGAGUUCGAGCAAACACUCACUCGACCAUAAGACUUAAAGGAUACCUUAGUUCAAGUUCGAGAAAUCACACUCAAUUUGAGUUCGAACAUUCACUCAGGGACUACCAAUAAGAAACGGUCGAGUUCGAACAUUCACUCGGACCUUCAAGUAAUUAUCCCAUGCUAAGGCACUUUUUUGCCUUUGUAUAAAUUAACAAGAAAGGAAAAAGAUUCAAAAGCCAUAGAAUAAAGAAAGUUUUAUAUAUACUAGAAAUCAUUUACAAAGGCACCAUGACCCGAUCAAGUUUUUCUACAGAAGACCAAAACGGUCUUAAAAGAAAGAAGAAAAAUACUAAAGGACUUAGUCCUCUCCAGAAGCAGCAUAUUCGCCUUCGAGGCCUCCUUCACUCUAAGAUCCACUCAUACUCCCGAUAUCGUCAUCAUCGGGAAAGGCCAACACUCUAGCUUCAGCUUCAAGAUCCUUUGCGUUCUCGAUCUCGGCUGUAAGAUCGAAGCCACGAGCGUGGAUCUCCUCUUGAGUCUCCCUCCGAGAUUGGCAUUUAGCAUGCUCAGCAACCCAGUUUGCUCGAUCUUGAGCAGCCUCGACAACCGUUUUUGCUCAAACCUGAGCAGCUUUAGCAUCAGACCGGUAGACAUCCACUAUUGCAUCGGCGUUAGCCGUGGCUAUUUCGACCUCCGAUUUGGCCGCUGCAAGUUCCGAGGCCAGUCUCUCUCGAUCAGAAGUUGUUGAGCCCAACCGAAAUCGAAACUCCUCAAUAUUCUUAGCUUGCACCAAAGCUCUCUCUUUCAAGAUUCGGAGUUGGGCCUCGACCGAGGCCAGUUGAGCCCAGGAAGUCUCUUUUUCAGAGGCAAGGCGAUCCAUGUUCUUUUUCCACUCCUCGGCCCCCGCUUUCACUGCGUCCACCUUGGCACGAAGCUGCCCAAUCAUAUUGAGCUUUUGCUGAACCUGUGGGACCGAACUGUUAGCCAUCACGUCCAAAUCAGUAUGAUUAACUUCAAAGAUUCUCUUUACCUGCUUGGACAAAUCAGCUUGUUCUUUCCGAGCUGCUUCUAGCUUGGCCCGAAGUCCUUUUGCUUCUCCUUCCCUCUGCUCACUGAGAAGCUUGAAGGCAUCUCUUUCCCCUCAGUAAGCCCUCAAAUUUUAGCUUCGGCCCGGCUUAGCUCCCCUCGGGAUCAAAAAAAUGCCUCGUGAUAGAGUGCAGAAGCCUACAAAAAAUAAAAAGGAGUUAUACAAAAAAAGAAAAAUACAUGUAUGAAAGUUGACGAAGAGAAAACGAACUUACCCGAUUCAGGGCCUGUUGAGCUUCGUUGAAUAGACGAGGAAUUCCCACCUUGCCUGAGCUCUUCUUCGAAGCCUCCAAAUCGCUCGGACCGAAAGCAUAUUCUACCCCAAUCAAUAACCAUGGAAAGGAUCUUCCUCUCCAUGGGCUCCCUCCCCGUGAUAAACCUCCACAGCUUGGGCGUCACGUAUCAUCGAUUGAGAAAAUGAAGGAAAAGAAGGGGAAUCACCGAUCUCUAUUGCCAGAUUAUGUCUUUUGAGGUGCCGCCCCCGUCUUCGGGAACCUUAAACUCGGUUCCUGCACUAGCAUCAACCGCCUCUUCGACGGACUCUUUGCCCCGAGGUAAAACAUCCUCGGUCCAUAUUUGCUUAGGAACUUGGGUCGAAGUUUUCUCCUCGACCUUAUCCGACGUGAGUGGAGCGGAAUCAGUCCCCACGGAUCCCAAAGCUUUACAGAUAUCGGAACUAGCUCGUGCACGGGCCACCAGCCCAGAGUCACCUUCUUCUUCUUCUUCUUCUUCCCUUAGACGCAGGACCGACUCCAUAGUCAGUGAGAUUGUGAUCCCCUUUGGGUUUACGGGUCGCUCUCUUCUUGGGUUUUUGAUCCUCGGAGUCCGAGGCCCUUUUCCUCUUAAUCACCUUCUCUGGUUUUGAGAUAGGUGGCAAAGCUUCUUCAUCACCUAAUGGGGGCCUCAUGACCGCAUCCUUUCCGAGACCUACAAAAGGGGAAGAUAAGUAAACUCAUGCUUCGAAUAAAACAUGUCAUCUCGAAUGAUAGGUGAAUCGGUAAGCCAAGAUGAAAGCUUACCAUGAGUACGAGCUUCCCACCGACCCUUCGACAAAUCGCGCUAUGAGCGCUCGGCAAAUAUGGACAUCAAAACCAGGUUUUUAACCCAGUUCUCGAGGUGGGGAACCGCACCCGACAUCCAAGCAGUGGUUGCAUCAAGAAAGACACUAAUAAAGAAAGGACGAAGAAGUAAAACAACAAACAAAAAUUCAAAACGGGAUCAUACUUAUGUUUCAUAUUCCAUUUCUCAGAAAAUGGCAUGCUCUCAGCCGGGAUCAGGUCUAAGGUCUUUACUUGAACAAAUCGACCCAUCCAACCCCGAUCCUUGUCUUCAUCUAUACUCGAGGUGAACACCUUGGUGGCACGACGUUGAAGCUUUAUCAGCCGGCCUCGGUAAAGUCGAGGGCUGUAUAAUCUUAUGAGGUGGUCGAGGGUGAAGGGAAGCCAAUCGAUUUUGCUUACAAAGAAACGGAUCAAGAUCAUGAUCCUCCGGAAAGAAGGAUGAAUUUGGCUGAGGGUCACCUGGUAUUUCUUGCAAAAGUCGAUGAUGACUAGAUCGAGGGGACCCAACGUGAAAGGGUAAGUGUUAACACUCAGAUACCCUUCCACGUGGGUAGUGAUCGAUUCCUCCGGUGUCGGUAUCACGACCUCUUUGUUUACCCAAUUACAAUCUUUCUUUACCACAUCAAGGAGAAUUAUUGGUAUCGAGCAUAAAUAUCUCGAUAUUGGCUCGCAUCGACCGACAACCGAAGAGGAUUUAUCGACCUUAAAGUCAGAAUCAAUAACACAUCCCCCGGGAACGAGUUCUUCAAGGCAUGGCUCCACCACCGGUUUCUCACCGCCCGACCGAGAUGAGAAAGCAGCCUCUUUUUGAGGAACGGUUUUAGAUAUCUUGGCCAUCUAAAUUUUCAAGAACAAAGGAGGAAAACUGAAAUAUUUUGGUAUUUGGUGAAGAACAAGCAAAGAAAAUUUUAAAAUUUGGAAAUAGCGAACUUUGAAGAAGGCAAAAAACUGAGAAGGUUUGGAAUGAGAAGCGUUGAAGGUAAAAGUUUAAAAUGAUGAAGAAGAGGGGCUAUUUAUAGAUCUCACAAUGAUAGUUCAAACUUGCCAGUGGCCGACUAUUGACUAACGCGCAUUUAUUGCCUUGGUAACUGAACCCACGUGACAUUUGUCACAUACGUCACAAUCAUGAUCGACGCAGACGUCAAUGUGAAUCUAGUCAGAGGUUGAAAAAUCAUAUCCUUUCUCGCCACAUUCUUUCCAAGAAACGAGGGGACUAUCUAUAAACAGUCAAAACCGAGUUUGCCCUUCGUAUGACUAAUCGAGAUUGGGACAUGAUAGACCAAGGAUCAUCAUGGUGGUAUCGAGCUAUGAUGUGAAGUCGGGCUGCUGAGUUCGAGACCUAGAAACCGACCAAGGUCGGGAUCAACCGAGAUCGAUAUCGUGCCCAGAUAGAGGUCGAGCAAAUAGAGACCGAUCGAGACCAAAGUCGGCCGAGACCGAGAACGAGCCCUGAUAGAGGUCGAGCGAAUAGAGGCCGAUCAUGGUCGAGAGCGGCCGUGUUUGGGCUCGAGCCAAGGGACAAAAGAGUUGUUAUAGCCACAUCUGGGGAGAAAAUCUCGGUGGAAAUCAAGGAAAGGCUAAUUAAUUAAUCUAUCAUGGGAUCUCACUAUGUAUUUUUAAUUAUAUUUAAAGUAGGAUUCCUCCAUUAUAUUAGAGUGACUGUCAUUUGUAAAAGGGCAUGGAAAGAAACCUUCACACAUUCUCACAUUGAGAGAUUAUUGAGAUUUACAUAACAUAUAGCAAAUAUUGUCCUUUUUUGGGCUUUUGAUAUUGAUUCAUCUAGUUCAUUUAUCAGUCAUUGUCUACUCAAUUUGGGUUGGUGUUCAUUCCUUUUCAAAGUCAAUAUACGGUAUAUUUCUACUUAUCUUUUCAAUUUGUGCCAAUUUACACCACGUAUCCAGAACUACGUACAAAUUCAACUACAUCCGUUUUUUGGGUAAACAGUAGCCUUAAUUCUAAGGAUUCAAUUAAACUUAGUGUUUUUAUACAGAACAUAACUAUAUAUAGUACACAAAAAAAGAAACGAAUACUAGAUUUUGAACCUAUAAUUUUAAAAGUAUAGUGAGCUUAGGACUAAAAAAUUUAAAGGUUGGAACGAAGUAAAAAUUCUCAAUCCGCCUCCGAUUAUUGAAGUUAAUCAUCCCUAUAAAUGCAAAGAAAUACAUCAUGUCAUGACCAAUCUAGCAGAGCUAAUAGUAAUAAAUAUAAUAUAAUUAAGUGCAUUGCCAAUUUAAUUUGGUUGUCGUCGCCUAUAACAAAAUAGAAGAAUUAACCCAAAUAGUCGCUCAUCCAACUAUUUAAAUUAAAAAUAGCCGGCGAAGAUAUAAUAUAUACAUAAUUUAUGUAUUAUAUGUGUAUAAAUAUGUAUAAUUAAUAUAUAAUCUAUAUAUAACACUAGAAAAAGUAAAUAAUAAAUAUGACCGACUAUUCAUGUAAAUACUAAAGAGAUUAAUAAUACUCUCAUACACAAUGAUAAGGCGGCAAAACAACGUUAGGUACACAAAGAAAUGCAUGCAUGAUGAGCCCUAUAUAAUCGAUUCUUAUCCAACAUGGGUAAUUAUUUUCAUACAUCCCGGCUAAUAAUAGUUUUUGGUGUUUUGGGUUUAUUCGUUGGUGUUUGGGAUCAUGCAAUAUGAAUUUAUGAUUAUAUCACUUUUUCGUGUGUAUUAGUAUAUAUUGAUUUUGUAAAAAAAAAUUAACAGACUGAAAUGUCGUAGCUUGCGACCAACACUUAUUGCUUCAUUAGGCUGAAAAUAGUGUUGAAUUCCGGUUUUAUGCCCCUAAAAUGCCAAAAAUCGAGAAACGAUAAUGGAGAAGCAAUGCCUAUUAUUUAUUAGGUAGUUUCUGAUUGGAUAACGAAUAUUUUGGCUAUUCGGGGAUGAUCGCCCGAAUUCAUGAAGAUGUCGUGGACAUUAUUAACACACAAAAAAUUAGAAAUCGUGUUGAAUUCCUAUUUUAUGGCCCUAAAACGCCAAAAAAGAGGAACGGUCAUGAAUAAGCAAUGACUAUUUUUCAUCUGGUCGUUUCUGAUAGACCUAUAAAAUUUUAGGAGAUUUGGGACCGGUCGCCCAAAUUCAUGAAGAUGGCGUGGACAUUAGCACACGGAAAAUCAAAAUCGUGCUGAAAUCCUAUUUUAUGGCCCUAAAAUGCCAAAAAACCUGGAACAGUAAUACAGAAGUAAUGAUUAUUAUUCAUUAGGUCGUUUCUGAUGGGCCCACAAAAUUUUAGGCUAUUCGGGACCGGUCGCCCGAAUUCGUAAAGAUCGUGUGGCCAUUAGCAUAAGAGAAAACAGAAAUCGUACUAAAUUCAUGUUUUAUGGCCAUAAAACACGAAAAUAUAAAGAAUGGUCAUGGAAAAGUAAUGACUAUUGUUCAUUAAGUCAUUUUUUAUGGGCCCACAAAAUUUUAGACGAUUUGGGAUCAGUCGCUCGAAUUCCUAUUUUAUGGUCAUAAAUAGACAAAAACGAGGAACUGUCAUGGAGAAGCAAUGACUAUUGUUCAUUAGGUCGUUUCUAAUAGGCCCACAAAAGUUUAGGCGACUUGAGGUUGGUCGCCUGAAUUUAUGAAGAUGGCGUAGAUAUUAGCACACGAAAAAUCAAAAUUCAUGUUGAGUUCCUGAUUUGUGGUCCUAAAACGCCAAAAAAUAAGGAACGGUCAUGGAGAAUCAAUGACUAUUGUUCGUUAGGUCAUUUGUGAUGGGACCACAAAAUUUAGGCUAUUUGGGGUCGAUUACGCGCUGAAUUCUUAUUUUAUGGCCGUAAAAAGACAACGAAAUGAGGAAUGAUCAUGUAGAAGAAAUAAAUAUUGUUCAUUAGUUCAUUUCUAAUUGGCCCAAAAAUUUUUAGGCAUUCGGAAUCGGUCGCCCGAAUGAAUUAAGAAGGCAUGGACAUUAGCACACGAAAAAUCAGAAAUCGUACUAAAUUGCUAUUUUAUGGCCUUAAAAAGCCAAAAAUCAAGGAACGGUCAUGAAGAAGCAAUCACGAUUGUUCAUUAGGUCGUUUCUGUUAGGACCACAAAAUUUUAGGCGAUUCGAGGUCCGUCGACCGAAUUCAUAAAGAUGACGUGGACAUUAACACAGAAAAAAUAGAGAUCGUACUGAAUUCCUAUUUUAUGGCUCUAAAACGCCAAAAAAUGAGGAAUGAUCCUGGAGAAGCAAUGACCAUUGUUUCCCAAUAUGGUUUCCCGAAUACAUGAAGAUGAAAUGGACAUUAACACACGAAAAUCAAAAAUCACGCUGAAUUCGUGAUUUAUGACCCUAAAACACCAAAAAGAGAAAAGGUAUGGAAAAGCAAUGAUUAUUGUUCAUUACAUCAUUUCUGAUGCGCACACAAAAUUUUAGGCGAUUCGGGGCCAGUUGCCCGAAUUCAUGAAAAUUGCGUGGACAUUAACAUACGAAAUAUUGGAAAUCAUGCAAAAUUUCUAUUUUAUGGCCCUAAACAACAAAAAUGAGGUACGAUCAUAUAGAAACAAUGACUAUUUGAAUUAGGUCAUUUCUGAUAGGCUCACAAAAUUUUAGGCGAUUCGGGGCCGAUUUUCCAAAUUCAUGAAGAUGGCGUGAACAUUAACACACGAAAAAUCAGAAAUCAUAUUGAAUUCCUGUUUUAUGGCCGGAAAACGCUGAAAAAUGAGGUGCAGUCAUGGAGAAGCUAUUACUAUGGUUAUUAGGUUGAAUCUGAUGGGUCCAAAAUAUUUUAGGUGAUUCGUAGCUGGUUGCCCGGAUCCAUGAAGAUAGGAUGGACAUAUAUGGAAGAAAAAUAAAAAUUCAUGCUAAAUUCCUAUUUUAUGCCCCUAAAACGUCAAAAAAUGAUGAAUGGUCAUACCGAAGUGAUGAUUAUUAUUCUUUAGGACAUGUUUGAAGGGCCAAUAAAAUUUUAGGUGAUUUGGGUUCGGUCGCCUGAUGCAUGUAGAUUUGCGUGGGCUAUAGCACACAAAAAUCUGAGAAUGGUGCGUAAUUCCUCUUUUAUGGCCCUAAAAUGCAAAAAACAAAAAGAGAACGGUCAUGGACAAGUAAUGACUAUUGUUCCUUAGGUCAUUUUUGAUGGGCCAAAUUUUUUUUAGGUGAUCCCAGUCAGGCUGCCUAGACCUAUGCAGAAGGCGCGGGCUAUAGCGCACUAAAUUUUGGGAAUCGAAUGAAAUUCUAGUUUUAUAGCCCUAAAAUGCAAAAAAAUGAAACGGUCAUGGCGUGGCGGUGACUAAUAUUUUUAUGUCAUUUAUGAUGGCCCGAAAAACUUUAGGCGAUACGGACCCAGUCGCCUGAGCCCAUAUAGAAGGCAUGGGCUAUAACACUCAAACAUCUGCGAAUUAGGCAGAAUUCCAAUUUUAUGGCCCUAAAAUUCCAAGAAAUGAGGAACGGUCAUGGCGAAGCGAUGAGUAUUAUUCCUUAGGUCAUUUUUUAUAGGCCGACAAAAUUUUAGACGAUUCAGGUCUGGUCGCCCGGAUGCAUGCAGAUGUCACACAAAAAUCUAGGAAUGGUGUGCAAUUCCUCUUUUAUGACCCUAAAAUGCCAAAAAAUGAGAUCGGUCAUGGCCAAGCGAUGACUAUUGUUCCUUAGGUAAUUUUUGAUGGGCCGACAAAAUUUUAGGCUAUUCGAGUCCGAUCGCCCGGAUACAUGCAGAUGGCGUGGGCUAUAGCACACGAAAAUCUAGGAAUGGUGCGGAAUUCUUGUUUUAUGGCCCUAAAACGCCAAAAAAUGAGGAACGAUCAUGGAGAAAUGAUGACUAUUGUUCCUUAGGUCAUUUUGUAUAGGCGGAAUUUCAAUUUUAUGGCCCUAAAAUUCCAAAAAAUGAGGAACGGUCAUGACAAAGCGAUGAGUAUUGUUCCUUAGCUCAUUUUUUAUAGGCCGACAAAAUUUUAGACGAUUUAGGUCCGGUCUCCCGGAUGCAUGCAGAUGGCGUGAGCUAUAGCACACAAAAAUCUAAGAAUAGUGUGUAAUUCCUCUUUUAUGGCCCUAAAAUGCCAAAAAACGAGAUCGAUCAUGGCCAAGCGAUGACUAUUGUUCCUUAGGUCUUUUUGAUGGUCUGACAAAAUUUUAGGCUAUUCGAGUCUGCCCAGAUGCAUGUAGAUGGCGUGGGCUAUAGCACACGAAAAUCUAGAAAUGGUGCAGAAUUCCUGUUUUAUAGCCCUAAAAUGCCAAAAAAUAAGGAACGAUCAUGGAGAAGUGAUGAAUAUUGUUCCUUAGGUCAUUGUUUAUGGGCCAAAAUAAUUUUAGGCGAAUAGGGUCCGGUAGCCCGGAUGUAUGCAGAUGGCGUGAGCUAUAACACACAAAAAUCUAGGAAUGGUGAGAAAUUCCUGUUUAUUGCCUUAAAAUGCCAAAAAAUAAGGAACGGCGAUGGCGAAGCGGCGGCUAUUAUUCCUUAGGUCUCUUUUGAUGGGCUGGAAAAUUUUUAGAUGAUUUUGGUCCGGUCGUCCAAAAGCAUUCAGAUGGCGUUGGCGAUAGUACACAAACAUCUAGGAAUGGUGUGAAAUUCCUAUUUCAUGUCUCAAAAACGUCAAAAAUGAGGAACGGUCAUGACGAAGCAAUGACUAUUAUUCCUUAGGUCAUUUUUGAGGAGACGAUAAAAUUAUAGGCAAUUUGGGUCCGGUCGCUGCAUGUAGAUGGCGUGGUCUAUAGAACACAAAAAUAUAGGAAUGGUGCGGAAUUCCAGUUAUAGGGCCCUAAAAUACCAAAACACGAGGAACGAUCAUGGAGAAGUAAUGACUAUUGUUCCUUAGGUCAUUUUCUAUAGGCCGGCAAAAUUUUAGGCGAUUCGGGUCUAGUUGCCUGGAUGCAUGUAGAAGGCGUGGGCAAACGAAAAUCUGGGAAUCGGGCAGAAUUCUAGUUUUAUAGCCCUAAAAUGCCAAAAAAUAAGGAACGAUCAUUGCGAGGUGGUGACUAUUGUUCAGUAGAUCAUUUUUUAAAGUCCGACAAAAUUUUAGGCAAUCCGUGUCCUGCCGCCCAGGCCCAUGCAGAAGUUAUGCGAUAUAGCACACGAAAAUCUGGGAAUCAGGUAGAAUUUCGAUUUUAUGGCCCUAAAAUGCCAAAACAUAAGGAGCAGUCAUGAGAAGCGGUGAGUAUUGUUAUUUAAGUCUUUUUUGAUGUUCUGACAAAAUUUUAGGUGACUUGGGUACGGUCCCCCGCGCCUAUGCAGAAGGCGUGGGUUUCAGUACACAAAAAUCUGGGAAUCGGCAAAAUUCCUGUUUUAUGAUCCUAAAACGCCAAAAUACGAGGAACGGUCAUAGCGAUGUGGUGACUAUUGUUCCUUAAGUCAUUUUUGAUGAUCCGACAAGAUUCUAGGCGAUCCGGGUCCGACUACUCGGGCCCAUGCAGAAGGCGAGGGCUAUAGCAUAUGAAAAUCUGGGAAUCACCCAGAAUUUCAGUUUUAUGGCCCUAAAACGCCAAAAAACGAAAAUAUAGGAAUCAGACGGAAUUCCAAUUUUAUGACCCUAAAACUCCAAAAACGAGGAAGGAUCAUGGCGAGGCGGUGAAUUUUGUUCCUUAUGUCAAUUUUGAUGGUCCGGCAAAACUUUAAGUGAUCCGAGUCCGGCCGCCCGAGCCCAUACAGAAGUCGUGGGCUAUAGCACACAGAAAUCUAGAAAUCGGACGGAAUUAUAGUUUUAUGGCCCUAAACACCAAGAAAUGAGGUACAGUCAUGGCGAGGUGUUCUUUAGGUCAUUUUUGAUGGUUCGACAGAAUUUUAAGCUAUCCGGGGCCACCCGCUCGGGCCCAUGCAAAAGGCGUGGGCUAUAGAAUACGAAAAUCUAAGAAUCGGGUCAAAUUUCGGUUUUAUGGCCCUAAGUCGCAAAAGAUUAGGAACGGUCAUAAUGAGGUGGUGACUAUAGUUCCCUAGGUCAUUUUUGAUGAGAAAAGUUUUAGGCAACUUGAUUCCGGCCUCCCGAGCCCAUGCAGAAUACAUGGGCUAUAGUACACAAAACUUUGGAAAUCGAGUAAAAUUCGAGUUUUAUGGCUCUAAAACGCCAAAAACGAGAAAAUAUCAUGGAGAGGUGAUGACUAUUGUUCCUUAGGUCAUUUUUGAUGGACCGGCAAAAUGUUAGAUGAUCCGGGCUCGGUCGCCUAGGCUCAUGCAGAAAGUGUGGGCUAUAACACAUGAAAAUCUAGAAAUCUGGCAGAAUUCUAAUUUUAUGGCCCUAAAACGGCUCGCCAUGAGUAUGAUGAGGUGUUGACUAUUAUUUCUUAGAUCAUUUUUUAUGAUCGAAAAAAAUAUUAAGCGAUCCAAGUCCGGCUGCCCGGGCUCAUACAUAAGGCGUGGACUAUAACACACAAAAAUUUGGGAAUCGGACAGAAUUCCAGUUUUAUGGCCCUAAAACGCCAAAAAACGAGGAACGAUCAUGGCAAAGCGGUGACUAUUGUUACUUUGGGCGUUUCUGAUGGUCUAGUAAAAUUUAAGGCGAUCCGAGUCCAGCCACCCGAGCCCACGCAGAAGGCGUGAUAUAGCACCGAAAAAUCUUAGAAUCGGGCGAAAUUCCUAUUUUAGGCGAUCCGGGUACGGUCGCCCAGGCCCAUGCAGAAGGCAUGGGCUAUGACAUAUGAAAAUCUGGGAAUCGAGCGGAAUUCCAGUUUUAUGGCGCUAAAACACCAACGAGGAAUGGUCAUGGCAAUGCAGUGACUAUUAUUCCUUAGGUCAUUUUUGAUGGGCUGGCAAAAGUUUAGGCGAUUCGGGUCUGGUCUCCCGGGACCAUGCAGAAGGCGUGGGCUAUAGCACAUAAAAAUCUAAAAAUCGGGCAGAAUUCCAAUUUUAUGGGCCUAAAAUGCCAAAAUACAAGGAACCGUCAUGACGAGGUGGUGUCUACUGUUUCUUAAAUCGUUUUUAAUGGUCCGGCAAAAUUUUAGGCGAUCCCGGUCUGGCUGCCAGGGCCCAUGUGGAAGGCGUGAGCUAUAGCAUGCGAGAAUCUAGGAAUUAGGCAGAAUUCCAGUUUUGUGGCCCUAAAACAACAAAAAAGAGUAACGGUCAUGAAGAUGCGGUGACCAUUAUUCCUUAGAUCGUUUUUAAGGUCCAGAUAAAUUUUAGGCGAGGCGUCUUCGUACACCCGGGCCCAUGCAGAAGGUGUAGGUUAUAGCAUACAAAAAUUUUAAAAUCCGGUGUAAUUCUAAUUUUAUGGCCCUAAAACGCCAAAACAUGAGGUACGGUCACGGCGAGAUGGUGAUUAUUGUUCCUUAGGUCAUUUUUUAUGGUCCGACAAAAUUUUUGGCGAUCCGGAUCUGGCCAUUCAGAUCCAUGCAGAAGGCAUGAACCGAAAAUCUAGAAAUCGAGCAGAAUUCCAUUUUUAUGGCCCUAAACACCAAAAAAUGAGUAACGGUCAUGGAGAAGCUGUGACUAUUGUUCCUUAGGACAUUUUUGAUUGUCCGACAAAGAUUUAGGCAAUCCGGGUCCGGCCAUCGGGCCCAUGCAAAAGGCAUGGGCUUUUAUGGCCGUAAUAUAAUAAAAAUGAGGAACAGUCAUGUGGAGGCUACGACUAUUGUUCCUUAGGUAGGUUUUGAUUAUCCGAAAAAAUAUUAGGCGAUCUAAGUCCGACUGUUCAGGCCCAUGCAGAAGGCAUGUACUAUAGUACACGAAAAUCUGGAAUGCCAAAAGCGAGUAAUAAUCAAGGCGAGGCAGUGAAUAUUAUUCCUUAGGUCAUUUUUGAUGGGCUGAGAAAAUGUUUGGCGAUCUGGGUCUAACCGCCCCGGCCCAUGCAUAAAGAGUGGGCAAUAGCACAUGAAAAUCAGGGAACUAGGCAGAAUUUUAAUUUUAUGGCUCUAAAAUACAAAAAUGAGGAACAGUCAUUGUGAGGCGGUGACUAUUAUUCCUUAGGUCAUUUUUUAUGGUUCAACAAAAUUUUAGGCGAUCCAAGUCCGCCCGCCCCACCACAUGCACAUGAAAAUCUGGGAAUCAGGCAAAAUUCCUAUUUUAUGACCCUAAAACCCCCAAAAACGAGGAAUGGCCAUGGCGAGGUAGUAACUAUUCUUCCUUAGGUGGUUUUUGAUGAUCCAAAAAUUUUUAGGCGAUCCGGGUCCGGCCGCCCGAGCCCAUGCGGAAGGCGUGAGCUUUAUCAUAUGAAAAUCUAAGAAUUAGGCAAAAUUUCAGUAUUAUGGCCCUAAUACGCCAAAAAAGAGGAAUAGUCAUGGCAAAGCAGUGACUAUUGUUCCUUAGGUUAUUUUUUAUGAGCAACCCAGUGCACUAAGCUCCCACUAUGUACGGGGUCCGAAAAAGGGCCAGACCAUAAGGGUUUACUGUACGCAUACUUACCCUACAUUUCUACAAAGAUCGUUUUUUAUGGUCUCGCAAACUUUUAGGCGAUCCGGGUUCGACCUCUUUGGCCGAUGAAAAUCUGGGUAUCAGGUGAAAUCCCAGUUUUAUGGCCCUAAAAUACUAAAAAAUGAGGAACAAGCAUGGAGAGACGGUGACUAUUGUUCCUUAUGUCAUUUUUAUGGUCCCGAUCCGGGUCCGGCAAAAUUUGACGAGCUCAAACACAAUGAAAUUAACGCUCGCUAGCCAAAGAUAGUAUAGUUAUGAUUAUCGUCUCUACGGGGAUUGGAUUUAAAUAAUGAUCAAGUAAUUUCUAGCUUAACGCUAUUCAGGAUAAUUGGCACGUUGGUUGGUAUGAUUAACAACUAAAAUUAACUAUAAAACUAAAAUAAUUAACAAUAGAUUAUUGAAAGACAAGAGUUGUGCAACACCGAAAUAUUAACGUGAGAAAUAAGGGUCGUGACACGAUAGGUAUAAGAUACCUAUUUUGGAUCUAACUCUAGUUCAAUUUAUCUAAUGUUUUAAUGAUUCUCACGAAUUCACUCGAUAAUUAGUUCAGACGUGUAGCCAAGGCUCCUCUCUCGAUAAAAUCUCUACGAGACGAACUAAUAUAAAGCCGUGUGAAAAUAUGCAAGAACGCUUUAAUGGAUUAGUGUUUAGGAAAACAUCUCUCGAAUAUUAUCCUAACUUGAUUUAAUCAACAAUUCAACAAGCUCUUUCAAUUACUUAAAAGAAUCACUGAAUUAAACCAGACAAAAUAACUCAAAGAUAAUCACCAAAAUAUUUUUCUUUCGAUUAAAUAAACUGGUAAAUAAAGUUGCAAUCAAUUCAAAGCUCCAUAAACGAAUUCAUGCAAUGAACUAGAGUUAAAAUUCACAAAUAUCAAUCAAAAUACCAUAUCCAUUUAACCCUAAGGUAAACUACUCCAUAAUCAUGGAGAAAGUUGAAUAAUAAGAAAACAUGAAUUCAAUCCAAACUCGGGUGUUGAGUAGAGGAAAGAAUGAUGAAUCCUUGUGCUUUGAGUUUCCAAUGCUCUUCAAAUCUUUCGUAGGUCAAAAGUCCCUUAAAAAAUAUCUUUUUGGUGUAUUUAUACCAUGUAAAUGUGAGACUAGAUAAAACUACACUUUCCAAGAUGAAACAGAAAAAUACUCUGAGAAAUUUGUACAAGCGUCGCACCAUGCGCCGCCCCACGCGGGGCGCUAGUGGGAAACUUCAGAGAGCAGAUUCUGACAAGGCAAACAAUUUACAGUGCCGCCCCGCCCCAUGUGCUGCCCCACGUGGUGCGGCAAUGUUAGUUUUCUACAGUAUUUCGUUUUCUUUAAUUUUUGACAUCCAGACUUGGCUCCCGACCCCCGAACGUGAUCCUGAUUUAAUUCAUUAGGCUUUUACUCUUACUUCAAAGCUCCAACUUAUUCUAUUUAGCUCCCGAUUAUCUUUUUAACUCGGAACUACUUCUUGCAAGGCAUAAAACACAUAAUAAGUACAAUAUACUAACAUUUAAGCUCAACCACAAGUAAAAUGCAGUGAUUAGAGUGCAAACCAUGACUAAAACAUGGGUUUCUAGCCUAUCAUCAAUACCCCAUACUUAAACCAUUGCUCGUCCUCGAUCAAUCAAAUUGCACUUCAGAUGGAAAUGACCUUUUUAUCAGAAAAUUUCCCUAACUCAUCAUGUCCAGAAUAUUUAAAGUAGACUAAGCACCCUAUCAUAAUAUACUAGCCUCAAGACUCGAUUCAAAAGCACCACACAUUUUUCUCAACCUGCUCGCUUACUCUAACACAGAGGUCAAAGACUUUACCUUACAUUCGCAAAUCAUGUGCCUUCACACAAACAAUAGAGAGUAGUUUCACACACAAUCAAUUUCAAGAACAAUUAGGACUUGAGACAGAAAGAGUUCACCCACUCUCAGAAUUAAGAUUCAUGUGCCACAGAAGACGUACUAUAGGCUUGCCGUAGUAUAUUACUCUGCUAAUUCGAGCUCAUUCAAUCAAAGAUCAAGUAGGACUUAAUUUAGUUGUAAUGUAGGUUGCGGGGACAGGUAGGAUACAUUUGGAUAUAGUGACUACACCUCCCUAAACACUUUAAUACAUAUAAUUCUACAUUUUAAACCUCACACUUAUUUUGAACCAAUCUCCAACCUUCACAACAUCAAACUCCUACUUUCUGUGAGCACAAACAAGAUGAGAACUACACUAGCAUGGAAUCAAAUUUUUUCUAACACAUACACAACUCUUCUUUUCCUUUUUUCCCCAAGUUCUGAUUGAUUUUUCUUUCUCAUUUUUUUUUCAAUUCCUUACAUGUGGCUCUCACAAAUUUUCAGCUAAUGCACCUUUCUCCUUUUUCAAUAGUUCCACUCAAAAAUUUGACCAUACCACAACUUAGCUUUUACAAGCUCAUAACAAAUUCAAGUGCUCAAGUGAGGUAAAAGGUUCAAAUAGAUAGACAGUUCAAACAAAGAGGUCAGUCUUGUAGUGUGGUUGCCAAAGAAAUAGGAUUAUAGGCUCAACAUGGCUAACUAAGAUACUUCACAAUUGUCACCCCCUUUUUAACCCCAAAAAGAUAUGUAUGUUAUGGAUUGUGGGUUAAAGAGUUUUUCCAAUUAAAGUGACAAACUUGAGUAGGGAUUAUUUUAUUUACAGAGUCACCAAUUGGAAUUGAGGUUUUGGGUGUUCCAAGUCACCUUUUAUUUGUAUCCCUAGUCAAAGAAAAGUUUGACUCAAUUAUUAUUGGUCUGCGAAAAUAAAGUAUGGAUAAAGAAUUUUAUUGACCGAGGAGAAGGUGUAAGGCAUUCUUCGAGUCCCAUGGUUCUUAUACGGUCGCUUUAUUGACUAAAAAUGGCUUGAAAUAAUUUUUGACAAACUGUGAUUUAUUGACUUUCAUGUUUUAUCUAUCCGCUUUUAUUGCUUGAUUAUUCAUAAUUAUGGAAUUAUCCUGAAAUGAAUCACGCGUACGUGUACUCGUUUUGUUUGGCGCGUCAAGAAUCAUGUCAUGUGUUCGUGUACACAAUUAAUAACACGUUAUUAAUAUUAAGAUUGUUUCGCCCAAAGUUGUGCGAACACAUACCUUAGUUUUAAUUUUAAAAAUUAUAAUUAUGUCACGCGAACAUGUAUAUAAUCACGAUAAUUGAUUUAUUAUUGCGUGCCUAAAGGAUACUAACGAUAUUUAUGAGUUAUUUUCCUAAACUAGUUUGAGAUUAUUGUGAGGUCAUGGAGUUAUGGAAGAUUAUUGUGGAAAAGAAUGUAUGCCUUUGACUAUUAUGAUUAGUCACUAAAUAUAACUCAGUAUUCUAUCUCAAUAUUAAAAAUCGUUCACAUUGUGGCUAAACAAAAUUACCAUCAAUAUUAAUAAACGAACUAAUACAUUAAUUAGCCUAUACAAUUGCAUCUAACACGUGACUUAACUCAAACGAUUAACAAGACUCUAUCCAAAAUAUUUUAAGCAACAAACAUCAAACAAAGCAGGAUGUUGAUGUGAUCUUUCCAGCAAUAUUAAUAAUUCCCAUAAACUUUACAGUAACAAAAAGAGACAAAAAAGACUUAGAUCAAACAAAAUUCUUUGUUCAUCAACUCAACAAAUCUGCUCCUAAAAGUCUUUAUAGAACCUUUAUACUUUCUAUUAUAAAAUUAUUAGCACCAAUAUCUCAUAAAACCCACAGCGAGUGAUAAUAUUAAGAAUCCAAAAGCAAUCACACUAUGAGAAAAGAAGUAAAACAUCAGUAGCAUGGAUCUAAAAUAUGUAAAUCACAAGGAAACGAAAUAGAGUAGUAAAAGAAAGGAAGAACUAAACCUUGAGCAAUGAAACUUUCUCAAUGUAUUGAUAAGAAAUUUGAAAUAAACCAGCUGGUACAGUUGCAAAAUGUCAAACCCAAUGCGAAAACAGGGAUACUGAAGCAGAGAUAAUGGACGGAACUAGGACGACCUCGCACUCGACGACAAUCGGACCUUUUGAAUGGGUUUUGCCUCAAAUUUUCAAGGAUGAUACCGGCAGGUUUUUAAUAGUGAUUUAUUGGCUGGUUUAAGGUGGUGCUUUUGGGUGGUUCGCCAGUAACUCAAUGGAAAUAUAUUUUGGGCUAUUUCACGUAGUUAGCUAGCUGCGUUUUCGUGGCUUCUCGUGGCUGAUUUUGUGGUGAUUUAAGGGCAUUUUGGAGCUGGUUCUAAGAUGGUAACGACAGUGGGUUUACAUAGCUAAUGGCUACUAGUUUCUAUGGCCAAAAGUAGUGAGGCUUUGAGGAGGAAGAUGGAGUUUUAUGGUGGGGUAUUGCUGCGUUUCUUUUUGCUUUUGCUGCAGUUUGUUUUUACUGGAAUUUGGCUCGUUUUUCUAUUGCUUUAAGAAGAAGAAAAAAAGGGGCUGCUAUUUCU
rnacentral:lncRNA from 1 species